AUUGAACUCUGGCGGCAGGCCUAACACAUGCAAUUCGAACGGUAACAGGAAGCAGCUUGCUGCUUUGCUGACGAGUGGCGGGCGGGUGGGUAAUGUUUGGGCAACCGCCCGAUGGAGGGGGAUAACUACUGGAAACGGUAGCUAAUACCGCAUAACGUCGCAAGACCAAAGCGGGGGUCCUUAUGUCCUCUUGCCAUCGGAUGUGCCCAGAUGGGCAUAGCUAGUAGGUGGGGUAACGGCUCCCCUAGGCGACGUUCCCUAGCUGGUCUGAGAGGAUGACCAGCCACACUAGAACUGAGACACGGUCGAGACUCCUACGGGAGGCAGCAGUGGGGAAUAUUGCACAAUGGGCGAAAGCCUGAUGCAGCCAUGCCGCGUGUAUGAAGAAGGCCUUCGGGUUGUAAAGUACUUUCAGCGGGGAGGAAGGGAGUACAGUUAAUACCUAGGCUCAUUGACGUUACCCGCAGAAGAAGCACCGGCUAACUCCGUG
rnacentral:rRNA from 1 species